rnacentral:rRNA from 1 species
GAUGAACGCUAGCGGCAGGCCUAACACACGCAAGUCGAGGGGUAGAAGGAGCUUGCUCCUUUGAGACCGGCGCACGGGUGCGUAACGCGUAUGCAAUCUACCUUUUACAGAGGGAUAGCCCAGAGAAAUUUGGAUUAAUACCUCAUAGUAUAUAUCAUUCGCAUGUUUGGUAUAUUAAAGUUCCAACGGUAAAAGAUGAGCAUGCGUCCCAUUAGUUAGUUGGUAAGGUAACGGCUUACCAAGACGAUGAUGGGUAGGGGUCCUGAGAGGGAGAUCCCCCACACUGGUACUGAGACACGGACCAGACUCCUACGGGAGGCAGCAGUGAGGAAUAUUGGUCAAUGGACGCAAGUCUGAACCAGCCAUGCCGCGUGCAGGAAGACGGUCCUAUGGAUUGUAAACUGCUUUUGUACGGGAAGAAACACUCCUACGUGUAGGAGCCUGACGGUACCGUAAGAAUAAGGAUCGGCUAACUCCGUGCCAGCAGCCGCCGCGG